GAGCCUCACGGAUUUGCUCAUCGCCCUCUGAACACCUGUGGCCUUCUCACUCCUCUGUGUCUUUGCACAUCCUUUCCCCAACCUCAUGCCAGGCCAUUGCAUUGUGAUCCAGGCUCAGUCUUCGUUCUGCUUCGUGGCAUCACAGUCCCUUAUUUGAAACUGAACCAGGACUGCAGUCUUCGACUUUGACAUCAAAUUUGACACCUCAGUGGCCCAAGCUUUCAGAAACUUGGAAUUGCAGACAUUAUGGAUUUGGACCUGCCCUCAGAAGAGCUACCUACUGAAAUAUUUACAAGUGAAAUGAUGUGAGAUGUGGGAUUUGAUUCAAAAUGAUCCUUUAUGUAUGAAGAGUGGGGCGUGGAGAAUGCAUGAAGAUACAGAUAAAAUAAACGUGUCUAUGGGUUAAUA
rnacentral:lncRNA from 1 species